GAUGAACGCUGGCGGUGCGCCUAACACAUGCAAGUCGAACGAAGGAUUGUGAAGGAACUUUACGGAGGGAAAACACAAUGACUGAGUGGCGGACGGGUGAGUAACGCGUAGGGAACCUGGCCCUUACAGGGGGAUAACAGAUGGAAACAACUGCUAAUACCGCAUAAGCGCCCAGCCUCGCAUGAGGCAGAGUGAAAAACUAAGGUGGUAAGGGAUGGCCCUGCGUCCGAUUAGCUAGUUGGUAUGGUAACGGCAUACCAAGGCGACGAUCGGUAGCCGGCCUGAGAGGGUGGACGGCCACAUUGGGACUGAGACACGGCCCAA
rnacentral:rRNA from 1 species